GUCUACAGCCAUACCACCCUGAACGCACCUUAUCUCGUCUGAUCUUGGAAGCUAAGCAGGGUCGGGCCUGGUUACUACUUGGAUGAGAGAAAACACUUUAGUUU
rnacentral:rRNA from 1 species